rnacentral:rRNA from 1 species
CUUUCGGGGGUACACGAGCGGCGAACGGGUGAGUAACACGUGGGUGACCUGCCCUCAGCUCUGGGAUAAGCCUGGGAAACUGGGUCUAAUACCGGAUAUGACCUGCUGUUGCAUGACAGUGGGUGGAAAGUUUUUUCGGCUGGGGAUGGGCCCGCGGCCUAUCAGCUUGUUGGUGGGGUGAUGGCCUACCAAGGCGACGACGGGUAGCCGGCCUGAGAGGGCGACCGGCCACACUGGGACUGAGAUACGGCCCAGACUCCUACGGGAGGCAGCAGUGGGGAAUAUUGCGCAAUGGGCGAAAGCCUGACGCAGCGACGCCGCGUGGGGGAUGACGGCCUUCGGGUUGUAAACCUCUUUCGACCGGGACGAAGCGUGAGUGACGGUACCGGUAGAAGAAGCACCGGCCAACUACGUGCCAGCAGCCGCGGUAAUACGUAGGGUGCGAGCGUUGUCCGGAAUUAUUGGGCGUAAAGAGCUCGUAGGCGGUGUGUCGCGUCGGUCGUGAAAACUUGGGGCUUAACCCUGAGCGUGCGGUCGAUACGGGCAUCACUUGAGUUCGGCAGGGGAGACUGGAAUUCCUGGUGUAGCGGUGAAAUGCGCAGAUAUCAGGAGGAACA